rnacentral:rRNA from 3 species
GACGAACCGUGCAAACGUUAUUCGGAAUCACUGGGCAUAAAGGGCGCGUAGGCGGCUCCAAAAGUCAGGGGUGAAAUCCGGCAGCUUAACUGUCGCAGUGCCUUUGAUACUGUGGAGCUAGAGGGAGGUAGGGGUCUGUGGAACUUCCGGUGGAGCGGUGAAAUGCGUUGAUAUCGGAAGGAACGCCGGUGGCGAAAGCGACGGACUGGAUCUCUUCUGACGCUGAGGCGCGAAAGCCAGGGGAGCAAACGGG